rnacentral:rRNA from 1 species
UGGCGGACGGGUGAGUAAUGUCUGGGAAACUGCCUGAUGGAGGGGGAUAACUACUGGAAACGGUAGCUAAUACCGCAUAACGUCGCAAGACCAAAGAGGGGGACCUUCGGGCCUCUUGCCAUCGGAUGUGCCCAGAUGGGAUUAGCUAGUAGGUGGGGUAACGGCCCACCUAGGCGACGAUCCCUAGCUGGUCUGAGAGGACGGCCAGCCACACUGGAACUGAGACACGGUCCAG